rnacentral:rRNA from 1 species
CCUACGGGAGGCAGCAGUGGGGAAUAUUGCACAAUGGGGGAAACCCUGAUGCAGCGACGCCGCGUGAGUGAAGAAGUAAUUCGUUACGUAAAGCUCUAUCAGCAGGGAAGAAAUACUGACCUUACGGUCAGCAGACGGUACCUGAGUAAGAAGCCCCGGCUAACUACGUGCCAGCAGCCGCGGUAAUACGUAGGGGGCACGCGUUAUCCGGAUUUACUGGGUGUAAAGGGAGCGUAGACGGUGCGCCAAGUCUGGAGUGAAAUGCCCCAGCUUAACUGCGGAACCGCUUUGGAAACUGGCGAACUAGAGUGCGGGAGGGGUAAGCGGAAUUCCUAGUGUAGCGGUGAAAUGCGUAGAUAUUAGGAGGAACACCGGUGGCGAAGGCGGCUUACUGGACCGUAACUGACGUUGAGGCUCGAAAGCGUGGGGAGCAAACAGGAUUAGAUACCCCAGUAGUC